rnacentral:piRNA from 1 species
UAAGCUUGGACAGAACUGAGCAA